UUUGGUCCGAUUUUGGCUGACAAAUGGCAUAUUUUCCACAUAUUGGCUUUCACAUUUCACGUUUGUUUUAAUAAAAAUAUAUUAAUUUAACAAUUGAUAUGCAUAUAAUUGUUUCUAUUUAAUGUUUUGAUAAUUGUUUUUAGUUUUCCUGAUUAAUGGUAGCCUAUGUCAAUAAGUGAAAAGUAGUGUGAGGAAAAGCUUAGAAACUUUUCCCUAAUAAAAUAACUGAAGGGGAGAAGCAUAUUUUAAUGUUAAGAAUAGGUUUGUAGAGGCAUAAAGUGCCAUUAGCCUAUUGAAUGUAAGUAUCUGGGCUAUUAAGUUUAUACUGAAAUAUUUUCUAUGUAUGUAAUAUUUCAACAAACACAUAUUGUAUUAAUUAAUGGUCAAAUACUAAAUUGAGAUUUUAUAAAAAAAUUUAAUAAGCUGUAAAGCUUGUCAAUUUGUUUACUUUAUUACAACUACAAUUUUCAGCCCUUUUCCAGAAUUUGAACUAAUUUGAUCAUAAAGAUUGAUCUAUUUAUAAUUUAUCGAUUACAAUUUUUAGACAAUUAAAGGCAGCUGGUUAAAGGAACUUUUAUUUUGGAAAAAGAACUGCUGCUGUUUCAAGACAUGCGCACUAGCUGCGACAUCUAGUGACGACAUUUACCGGGCUUUAACGGUUGUUGCUGCAUGAAGUCUGCUGCAAUUUCUCUGAGAUUUCUCAAGAUCAUCAGUUUGGACAGAAUUCAUUUGAAGAAUUAAUAGCACUAGCAGGUUCCAAUAAAGGCUGGAACAGAACAGACAGAAAAGAAAAAGUACUGUUCGUGCACCAGAUGGUGAAGUAGAAAAGUUCAUAAAAACUUCUGCAGCUUGCAUCUGACAGAGAUGCAAAAAGAAGAAGAGAGCGGGCCUGAAAACAAGCAAAUUCAAGGUUGUCAAUUCAGCAGAAAAGUUUGCUGUUUUCGCUGUUUACAGACAGGAGGUAAGCGCAUGUGAACACGCAGAUGACCUAUGGUGUCUGCGUAAGGGCUGGGCAAAAAAAUCGAUUUUCCGAUUAAUCGUUUUUUAAAACGUGGUCUAAUAAAAAUCGAUUCUCAAAGAGCAGAAUAGAUUUUUUUCUUUCAUAUUUAUUU